CCUACGGGAGGCAGCAGUGGGGAAUAUUGCGCAAUGGGCGAAAGCCUGACGCAGCGACGCCGCGUGAAGGCAGAAGGGUUUCGGCUCGUAAACUUCUUUCAACCGGGACGAAAGAAAUGAAGGUAUCUGAAUAAGAAGCCCCGGCUAACUAAGUGCCAGCAGCAGCGGUAUUACGUAGGGGGCAAGCGUUAUCCGGAAUUAGUGGGUGUAAAGAGUGAGUAGGCGGCAUGGUAAGCCAGAUGUGAAUGCCUUGGGCUUACCCCGAGGAUUGCAUUUGGAACUAUCAAGCUAGGGUACAGGAGAGGAGAGCGGAAUUCCUAGUGUAGCGGUGAAAUGCGUAGAUAUUAGGAAGAACACCAGUGGCGAAGGCGGCUUUCUGGCCUGAAACUGACGCUGAGGCACGAUAGCGUGGGGAGCGAACAGGAUUAGAUACCCUGGUAGUC
rnacentral:rRNA from 1 species